rnacentral:rRNA from 1 species
CCUACGGGAGGCAGCAGUGGGGAAUUUUGCGCAAUGGGCGAAAGCCUGACGCAGCAACGCCGCGUGGGUGAUGAAGGUCUUCGGAUCGUAAAACCCUGUCGUCAGGGACGAAGGUUGCGUGUCGAACAGAUGCGUAACUUGACGGUACCUGGAGAGGAAGCCCCGGCUAACUCUGUGCCAGCAGCCGCGGUAAU